UCCCCCAGCUCCGCAGCCCAGAUUCCCGUCCCCAACGCGCCUCCUUUCCAGCUUCAUCCGAAUCCAUCCAGGCGCAGCCCUGCCUCAGACGCACAGCCCUGCGGGACCCGCAAGCGCUCUAGCAGCUCUGCCCACGAGUCCUGGAGCUCCCGGGACUUGAGCUCAGGACCCGCUCCAGUGCCGUGGGCCGGGCGGGCGUGCGGAAGCCGGAUCCAGCUUUCCCCUCAAUUCACCCUGGGUGGAUCCGGUCUGCACACUCUGGACUUCAGCAGACUCUGGACUGCGGGUUGUGGGGUCGGGUGGCCAGGGACGCCGGGGCUGGAGCCCUGGGUCCUUCUGGCCUCGGCACAAACCGCCUUGGAACGCAGACUCCAGGACGCCAUGGGCUGAACCUGCUGGGUGGUCCUGCCUGGAUCCCGCCUCACCAUGGGACUGUGCGGGCGGUCAGAGCUGGGCUGGAGAAGCUCGGGUGGACGCUGUGACACUUAGGGCACAGCCAGGAGGCUGCGAGGAGCCAGGCCGGUGUUGGAAGAGACCAGGGCUCCGUGGGCAUCCCGCAGCGCCCGGAACCUGCGCCGACAGCCUCCACAGAACCUGGGGUCCCAGCUGGAGCCAGCGUGGAGGGCGGGCGGAUUUGCCACCGGAGUCGGAGCUGGGUCUGAGAAGAGUGGGAGGCCGCCGCGUGAUGCUGGAGGCCAUAGGCACAGCCUGAGGGGGCCAGACGAUGGGAGGAGGAAGUGAGUGAUUUUAAUUUUUUA
rnacentral:lncRNA from 1 species